GUGCUCACUUCAGCAGCACGUAUGCUAAAAUUAGAACGACACAGAGAAGAUUAGCAUGGCUCCUGCGGAAGGAUGACAUGCAAAUUUGUGAAGCGUUCCAUAUUUAU